CUCACACCACCAAUGCAUAUGUACUCACACCACCAACACAUAUGUACUCACACCACCAACACAUAGGUACUCACACCACCAACGCAUAUGUACUCACACCACCAACGCAUAGGUACUCACACCACCAACGCAUAGGUACUCACACCACCAACACAUAUGUACUCACACCACCAACACAUAGGUACUCACCCC